UACAGAGGUCCCAAGCGUUGUUCGGAUUUACUGGGCGUAAAGGGUGCGUAGGCGGUCGGGUAAGUCUGGUGUGAAAUCUCCAAGCUUAACUUGGAAACUGCAUUGGAUACUAUCCGGCUUGAGGUUGGGAGGGGGGACUGGAAUUCUCGGUGUAGCAGUGAAAUGCGUAGAUAUCGAGAGGAACACCAGUGGCGAAGGCGAGUCCCUGGACCAAUCCUGACGCUGAGGCACGAAAGCCAGGGGAGCAAACGGG
rnacentral:rRNA from 1 species